UACGAAGGGGGCUAGCGUUGCUCGGAAUCACUGGGCGUAAAGGGUGCGUAGGCGGGUCUUUAAGUCAGGGGUGAAAUCCUGGAGCUCAACUCCAGAACCGCCUUUGAUACUGAAGAUCUUGAGUUCGGGAGAGGUGAGUGGAACUGCGAGUGUAGAGGUGAAAUUCGUAGAUAUUCGCAAGAACACCAGUGGCGAAGGCGGCUCACUGGCCCGAUACUGACGCUGAGGCACGAAAGCGUGGGGAGCAAACAGGA
rnacentral:rRNA from 1 species